GCCUCAGUGGUGUCAUGGAAAGCACGGCAGACCGGAUAUCUGUAAUUGCGGGUACGAGUCCCGCCUGAUGUU
rnacentral:tRNA from 1 species